CACCUGUGUGUGCACCAGCACAGCCAAAAACAACACACCACCUGCAAUUUUAAUUUAUUGAAAUCCUUCUCAUUCACAGCCAAAGUUGAAAUUGCUCAAAAUCCCCCGUUUUCCCCCCAAUUUUGGCUUCCUUCGGAGCCCCCCCCAUCCCUCAAACCCCUUCAGCUUCGCCCCUCUGCUCUUCCCCGCUCGGAUUUUGGGGGCAAAACCCCAAAAUCCCGCACUUUGUGCAGGAUCUGGGCCCAGGGCUCUGGGGGUACCCCCCCCCCUGCAUUAAUGAGCCCUCGUUAAGACAGUGUUAAUUAAUUAACCCCGUUGUUUCACAGCGCCCGGCCUGCUGCUCUGGGUGGUGCCUCCUCACCUCCCGGCCCCAAAUUUUCCGUUUUUCAGCCCAAAAUGCAGCAGGAAGGGAACGCCGGCUCUGGGAGGGAAGAUCCCCCCCCCCCACACUUUGGGGUCACCCCCAAUAAGACCCCCACUUUGGGGUCCACCUGGAAGCCCCCCACUUUGGGGUCAACCCCAAGAGGAUCCCCCAAUUUGGGGUCAACCUGGAAGACCCCCAAUGUGGAGUUGACCCCAUAAGAAGCCCCACUUUGGGGUCAGCCCCAAAGACGUCCCACUUUGGGGUCCACCUGGAACACCCCCCCGUUUUGGGUUGACCCCAGAAGAUGCCCUGAUGUGGGGGUCAGCCCCAGAGGAUCCCUCACUUUGGGGUCCACCUGAAGACUCCCAAGAUGGAGUCGACCCCAUAAAAUGCCCCAGUUUGGGAUCAGCCCCAGAGGAUCCCCCAGUUUGGGGUAGACCCCAAAGAUCCCCUAAUUGGAAUCAACCUGGAAGACCCCAAAGAUGGAGUCAACCCCAAGAAGAUCCCCCAGUUUUGGGUUGACCCCAAAGAUCCCC
rnacentral:lncRNA from 1 species